GACGAAGGUGGCAAGCGUUGUUCGGAAUCACUGGGCAUAAAGCGCACGUAGGCGGCGACGUAAGUUGGGUGUGAAAUCCCUCGGCCCAACCGAGGAACUGCGCCCAGUACUGCGUUGCUUGAGGAUCCAAGGGGUGCAUGGAAUUCCCGGUGGAGCGGUGAAAUGCGUUGAUAUCGGGAGGAACUCCGGCGGCGAAAGCGGUGCACUGGUGGAUUUCUGACGCUGAGGUGCGAAAGCCAGGGGAGCAAACGGG
rnacentral:rRNA from 1 species